rnacentral:rRNA from 1 species
GAUGAACGCUAGCGGCAGGCUUAAUACAUGCAAGUCGAGGGGCAGCAUGACUGUAGCAAUACAGUUGAUGGCGACCGGCAAACGGGUGCGGAACACGUACAGAACCUUCCUUCGAGCGGGGAAUAGCCCAGAGAAAUUUGGAUUAAUACCCCAUAGUACAACGGAGUGGCAUCACUUUGUUGUUAAAGAUUUAUCACUUGAAGAUGGCUGUGCGGCUGAUUAGGUAGUUGGCGGGGUAACGGCCCACCAAGCCUGCGAUCAGUAACUGGUGUGAGAGCACGACCAGUCACACGGGCACUGAGACACGGGCCCGACUCCUACGGGAGGCAGCAGUAAGGAAUAUUGGUCAAUGGACGAAAGUCUGAACCAGCCAUGCCGCGUGGAGGAUGAAGGUCCUCUGGAUUGUAAACUUCUUUUAUAUGGGACGAAAAAAGGGUUUUCUAACUCGUCUGACGGUACCAUAUGAAUAAGCACCGGCUAACUCCGUGCCAGCCGCCGCCGUAA